rnacentral:rRNA from 1 species
GAUGAACGCUGGCAGCGUGCUUAACACAUGCAAGUCGAACGAUGAAGCCCAGCUUGCUGGGUGGAUUAGUGGCGAACGGGUGAGUAACACGUGAGUAACCUGCCCUUAACUCUGGGAUAAGCCUGGGAAACUGGGUCUAAUACCGGAUAGGAGCGUCCACCGCAUGGUGGGUGUUGGAAAGAUUUAUCGGUUUUGGAUGGACUCGCGGCCUAUCAGCUUGUUGGUGAGGUAAUGGCUCACCAAGGCGACGACGGGUAGCCGGCCUGAGAGGGUGACCGGCCACACUGGGACUGAGACACGGCCCAGACUCCUACGGGAGGCAGCAGUGGGGAAUAUUGCACAAUGGGCGCAAGCCUGAUGCAGCGACGCCGCGUGAGGGAUGACGGCCUUCGGGUUGUAAACCUCUUUCAGUAGGGAAGAAGCGAAAGUGACGGUACCUGCAGAAGAAGCACCGGCUAACUACGUG